rnacentral:rRNA from 1 species
CAAGAUGAGAUUUCCCAAUUAGUAAGACCCCUUGAAGACGACGAGGUAGAUAGGUUGGAGGUGGAAGUGCAGUAAUGCAUGGAGCUGACCAAUACUAAUCGGUCGAGGGCUUAUCCUAAAAAC